rnacentral:lncRNA from 1 species
CAUCUCAGCGAAGCACAACUCUCCUCCCAGAUCCCACCAUUUUCUUCUCCAAGAGCUCGGACCAGCCACCUCCCGCGGUGAUCUAAUCCUCCUCCCAGAUCCCCCAUCUCCCGAGCGUGUCCCCGCAUCCUCGUCCAGGAUGCAUGCCAGCUCUUGUUUACGCACCGGAGUGUCCGUCGAGCGAAGUCGGCCAUCUCCCGCAUGCUUGACCCAGAGUGGGCUCGACCCCGGCGGCGAUCUGCAGCAGGGACUGGGCUCGAUCCCGUUUCGAUUCGAUUCAGGGAGAGGUGCCAGAUCCCGUCACCGCUGACUAAGGU